rnacentral:lncRNA from 1 species
AAAAAAAAGUCUUAAUCCUUUGCGAACACAAGGCCCUGGGCCCAGAAAGUUAUGUAGCUUAGUUUGGACAUUGGUCCUUAGUUUGGACAUUGGUUAAUGGUGUCAUAAAGUAAACCAACAAACAGAAAAUCCAAAAACAAAACCAAAAAACUAUGACUUUUAUAUUUCUUUUACUAAAUUCCGUUUACAGAAAUAAUCCCAGAUUCUAUGUAAACGAGAUAAAAAUGUUUUCAUCCACGACCAUUGUAUUUAGGAAAAACGUGUCCCCUGAAGACGCAGGAAGCUGUUGUGGAAGGAGUAUAGUUCCAAGAGAGUCGGAGGCAUCCACGUUCAGCCCUCAGCUCUGCCUCAUUUGCCGUCUCAGGGGCUCAGCUCCCUGGGCUGGGGGCGACCGGUCCCUCCUGCAGGGUGUCCUGAGGAGACAGGGUGAUGGGAGACGUUCGCAGAGGACCCGGCACAUAGCAGGUACUCAGUCCAAAGUACCCUUGAUUGUCAUGGUUACCGUUUGACGGGAAGGCUCACGCACAGUCUGACUGCUUUUAAUAUAAUGCAUUUUAAUAUAAUGUAUUUUAAUAUGAUGUUUUUUACCUACUUUUCAUGUAAGUUUAUCUCAUCUUAUUUUAAAAGUCAUACAACUGUAGGGGCGCCUACAGUUGGCUUGGUCGGUAGGGCAUGAGACACCUGAUCUCGGGGUUGCAAGUUCGAGCCCCACUUUGGGUGUAGAGAAUACUUAAAAAAAUACAAGUGUUAUAGAAAGUUUAAAGAACAUAAGUGGAGGCGGGGGUGGGGGGCUGGGUGGCUCGGUCGGUUAAGUGUCUGACUCUUGGUUUCCUCUCAGUUCGUGAUCUCAUGGGUUCAUGAGUUGGAGCCCCGAGUUGGGCUCUGGGCUGGCAGCAAGGAGCCUGCUUGGGAUUCCCUGUCUCUCCCUCUCUUUCUGCCCCUCCCCUGCUUGCGCUAUCUCUAUGUCUCUCAAAACAAAUAAAUAAACUUUAAAAAAAGGGUGGGGGGCACCUGGGUGGCUCAGUCAGUUAAGUGUCUGACUUCAGCUCCGGUCAUGAUCUCACAGUCUGUGAGUUCAAGCCCCACGUCGGGCUCUGUGCUGACCCCUCAGAGCCCAGAGCCUGCUUUGGAUUCUGUGUCUCCCACUCUCUCUGCCCCUCCCCUGCUCACACUCUGUCUCUCUCUCCUUCAAAAAUAAAUAAACAUUAAAAAAAAAAAAGGAACAUACAAGGAAGGAAGGAAGAUGGAAAGGGAGAAAAUUUCCAUCCUGGUCCCUCGACUCCAAAGACUUUGGCCAUUCUCUUUACGUUUUAUUUCUUUAUAGUUCUAUAAAUAGACAUAUAAAUACAUGACAUUUGUUAAACUUUUUUUCUUUUACCUCAUCAACUGAAUUUUAUUUACUUAUUUAAAAAUCUAUGUAUCGUGAAAAAAAAUAAAAAAUAAAAAAUAAAAAAAUAAAAAUCUAUGUAUCUUGAGAGAGAGCGAGAGAGCACGUGCGUGUGCGCGUGCACAAGUGGGGAAAGGGCGGAGAGAGGGAGAGAGAGCAUCCCAAGCAGGUUCCGUGCUGUCAGCACAGAUCCCGACACGGGGCUUGAACCCAUGAACCACGGGAUCGUGACCUGAGCGGGAAACACUACGUCACCAAGUGUCCUUAACUUGCUGUUGUCUCUUCUUUCCCAUUUGUGACUUGGUUUAAACACACACACACACACACACUCACUUUUUGUUUUUGUUUUUAACAGGUUCAGGCUUUUAUGUUUCCAUUUCUACAGUCUGUUACAGAAUCUGCUCAGUGAGGAAGGGAAGAGAAACCGAGUCGGUCGGGCCUCCUCCUCGGAACCUUUGUGAGGCCAGCUGGCCGGAGGGAAGCGGCCUUAGGUUCGGGGCGAUGCCGGGGCCCCAGCCCCGUUCUGUUCUGAACAGCUCUGUUCUCAGAGAAGUUCACGUUCCGCUGCGAAGCUCAGCUGCCAGGUCCACCGAAUGUGCGUACGUUAGAAGUCGCACAAGAGGGGCGCCUGGGCGGCGCAGUCGGUGAAGCGUCCGACUUCAGCCGGGUCACGGUCUCGCGGUCCGGGGGUUCGAGCCCCG